GCGCAUCAGGAGGUUGCAUACAUUGCCCUCGAGCAGCUAAAAUUACAGGAAGAAAGCACAGAUGAACCAUCAAGCUCAGACAUACAGCCCGAGGCCUCCUCUUCAUCUUCCUCAGGAAUCACUUUCUUUGGUAAAGUGACUGUGGAUCUCAAUCGAGAAGUUGAGUCUGAUAGAUGCUCUUCAAAGGAAGAAGCGACUGAAGCAGCUUAUAAGGUUUUAUGGGAAAGUUUUCGCAUCAGUGCUCCAUUAGAAGGUCAGACUUACAAGUCAGUGACGAUGGAAUAUUUCAACACAAAUGGCUUCCCAAAACCAAUAGAAGAUUUUGAUGCCAACACAACCAUCUGCAAGCUCAAACUCAUUGGGCUUUUCACUUUUUAUGACAAAGAUGGCUCCACCAAGAAGAAACAGGCAGAGCAACAGGCAGCUAAAGUCGCUCUGCAGCAUCUGUCAGGGAUCCUCAACUGUGCUCCAAUAUCAGAUACUGAGAAGAACUUCAAAGGUGUUCUGAAGGAGCAUCUAGAGACGCUGGGUCUCAAAAAUCCUGUUUACGACACAGAUAAUAAAGCAGAGGCCAGUGAAGAGCCCAUCGACAUCAGCUCGGACCUGAUUACUUCUACAGUAUCCAUCAGUCAGGCAGAAGUGAAAGAUCACUCAGAGUCUGAAAUCAUCUCAUCAUCUCCAUCUUGCCAAGAGUCAGUCUGUGUUCCUGUUCCUGUGCAGCCGGACCCUCCAGACUCCAGCUCUCCAGCCUCACAGAGGAAAAAGCCCAGGAGUGA
rnacentral:lncRNA from 1 species